rnacentral:rRNA from 1 species
AGCAGUAGGGAAUCUUCCGCAAUGGACGAAAGUCUGACGGAGCAACGCCGCGUGAGUGAUGAAGGUUUUCGGAUCGUAAAACUCUGUUGUCAGGGAAGAACAAGUACGGGAGUAACUGUCCGUACCUUGACGGUACCUGGCCAGAAAGCCACGGCUAACUACGUGCCAGCAGCCGCGGUAAUACGUAGGUGGCAAGCGUUGUCCGGAAUUAUUGGGCGUAAAGCGCGCGCAGGCGGUCUUUUAAGUCUGAUGUGAAAGCCCACGGCUCAACCGUGGAGGGUCAUUGGAAACUGGAAGACUUGAGUGCAGAAGAGAAGAGCGGAAUUCCACGUGUAGCGGUGAAAUGCGUAGAGAUGUGGAGGAACACCAGUGGCGAAGGCGGCUCUUUGGUCUGUAACUGACGCUGAGG